rnacentral:rRNA from 1 species
UAGCGGCGGACGGGCGAGUAACACGUGGGUAACCUACCUAUAAGACUGGGAUAACUCCGGGAAACCGGGGCUAAUACCGGAUAAUAUUUUGAACCGCAUGGUUCAAUAGUGAAAGACGGUUUCGGCUGUCACUUAUAGAUGGACCCGCGCCGUAUUAGCUAGUUGGUAAGGUAACGGCUUACCAAGGCGACGAUACGUAGCCGACCUGAGAGGGUGAUCGGCCACACUGGAACUGAGACACGGUCCAGACUCCUACGGGAGGCAGCAGUAGGGAAUCUUCCGCAAUGGGCGAAAGCCUGACGGAGCAACGCCGCGUGAGUGAUGAAGGUCUUCGGAUCGUAAAACUCUGUUGUUAGGGAAGAACAAAUUUGUUAGUAACUGAACAAGUCUUGACGGUACCUAACCAGAAAGCCACGGCUAACUACGUGCCAGCAGCCGCGGUAAUACGUAGGUGGCAAGCGUUAUCCGGAAUUAUUGGGCGUAAAGCGCGCGUAGGCGGUUUCUUAAGUCUGAUGUGAAAGCCCACGGCUCAACCGUGGAGGGUCAUUGGAAACUGGGAAACUUGAGUGCAGAAGAGGAGAGUGAAUUCCAUGUGUAGCGGUGAAAUGCGCAGAGAUAUGGAGGAACACCAGUGGCGAAGGCGGCUCUCUGGUCUGUAACUGACGCUGAUGUGCGAAAGCGUGGGGAUCAAACAGGAUUAGAUACCCUGGUAGUCCACGCCGUAAACGAUGAGUGCUAAGUGUUAGGGGGUUUCCGCCCCUUAGUGCUGCAGCUAACGCAUUAAGCACUCCGCCUGGGGAGUACGACCGCAAGGUUGAAACUCAAGGAAAUUGACGGGGACCCGCACAAGCGGUGGAGCAUGUGGUUUAAUUCGAAGCAACGCGAAGAACCUUACCAAAUCUUGACAUCCUUUGACCGCUCUAGAGAUAGAGUCUUCCCCUUCGGGGGACAAAGUGACAGGUGGUGCAUGGUUGUCGUCAGCUCGUGUCGUGAGAUGUUGGGUUAAGUCCCGCAACGAGCGCAACCCUUAAGCUUAGUUGCCAUCAUUAAGUUGGGCACUCUAGGUUGACUGCCGGUGACAAACCGGAGGAAGGUGGGGAUGACGUCAAAUCAUCAUGCCCCUUAUGAUUUGGGCUACACACGUGCUACAAUGGAUAAUACAAAGGGCAGCGAAUCCGCGAGGCCAAGCAAAUCCCAUAAAAUUAUUCUCAGUUCGGAUUGUAGUCUGCAACUCGACUACAUGAAGCUGGAAUCGCUAGUAAUCGUAGAUCAGCAUGCUACGGUGAAUACGUUCCCGGGUCUUGUAAACACCC